CCGUCGGCUCUAGGCGCGCGAGCGUCUUUUGCCACCGCCGCGGCCGCUCCGGCUGUAGAAGUCGCUCCGGAAAGGCUGCGAGUUGCUCGCUAUGAAGCGGGCGUCCGGGCAGGACUCGAGAGCUGCUCGGGACUCUCUUGGGGAGCCCAACUAGGCAUGAAGACGAUAUUCUGGCGGAGUUUGUAACCUCCCGCGUCGCUUGAGGGAAAGGGCGGCCACUCGCUGUCAGUCCUUGGCCGGGAUCUGCAGCCGCGGCUAGACUGCCUUCUGCCUGUCCCGGGCGCGGUUCUUGGCUCGGUCCGAAGCCUACGAAGAGGAUGGAGGCACCGCCGCCGCCCUGCUCCAAGAAGAGCCUGUCCCUCUCGCUGCCGGUGCCGCGGGAGGGACAGGCCACCCUCAAGCCGCCCCAGCACCUUUGGAGGCAGCCCCGGACGCCCAUCAAAAUCAAGCAUCGCGGCUACUCGGACACGGAGCGGCACCCCCACCGGCAGAUCGAGAGAGCGGACGCCAUGGACACGAGCGACCGUCCCGGCCUGAAGAAGUCUCGCAUGUCCUGGCCGUCUUCGUUCCACGGGACCACCAGCAUCGGCGUCGGCCACAGCCACGGGGGCAAGCGAAAGGAAACUAAAAGCCCUAGCUGGCCAUCACUGUACCACCAUUAGAAGAGGGAACUGGAGUUCAAGAUAGAUCAGGUAAGGGCAACUUUGCUAAUUUAAAUGAGGGCUCCAGGGUCAGAUGAAUUACACCUUAGAGUACCAAAGUAACUAGCAGAGCCAUAUAAUCUUUGAGAGAUCUUGGAGAAUUGGCAAUAUCUCAGAAGAUUAAAAGAGAGAAAACGCCAUCCCAAUUUUCAAUAUAAAAAAAAGAAAGGCAGAGAAAUGAGGAAGUUACAGACCUGUCAGUUUGGCAUCUAUACUGGACAAGAAUUGCCCUAUUGGAGAGAUGGGCAGCAUAUACAUUUAAUAAACUAUUAAAGAGCCUCAAACAGAUUAUUAAACAGCAUGUUUACGAACACUUGAAUAAUAACACAAAUGUGAUGUAGUGUUUAAGGCACCAGGCUAGAAACGGGAAGAGUGUGAGUUCUAGUCCCAUCUUAGACAUGAAGCCAGCUCGGUGAUCUUGGGCCAGUCCCCCUCUCUCAACCCUGAGAAACUGGCAAGGGCAAACCACUUCUCUCUCCCCCCCCCAAAAAAAAAAAUGCCAAGAAAACUGCAGAGACUAAUCCAGGCAGUCACCAGGAGGAGUUAAUGACUGGAAGUUACAAAAACUGUCAACUAGUGGAAAAAGCUGUCCCAUUAGGUUCUCCUUCAGUGGAGAUUUUCAAACUGUGUCAAGAUUUGGAAGAGACUUCAAAAGCAUGAAUCAAAUAUUUUCCAUGUGUGGUUGCAUUGGGAGGACACAAUUGUUGAGUUGAAUUUGAAAAGGAUUAUUCUUUUCACUGGGAUUCAUUAGAUGCCUUUCAAGUGUAAAAAUUGAUCAAGCUGCAGUCGCUUACAUUAAUCUUAAAACACUGAGAGCCUGCAAAAAACAUCUUCAGCCACCAAUGCACACCUCCUUUCCAUUCAGCUGAGUUAUGAAGAAUGGAACCAUUAGAAGAAGCAACAUCAUCCAGUCAAUGCCCCCUCUCCCUCUUUCUCUUGUUGUAGAAUAACAACAAUCCAUCUGGACUCAAAAGAAAUAAAACAAAUGUCUAAUCUGUCCUUCCUCCAUGUUUUUCACAUAAAUAUAAAUUUGUCUGGUAGUUUGCAAACAAAACCUGUUGUAAUAGAGAAGAUUGAUUAUAAAAGCAUAAACAAAAAACAUUAUCAUCCUCCAAAGACUCUCCAGUUAUUUUGCUGCCAUUGUCAGUUGCAUUUAAGUGUUUGUGUAAGUUGUAAAGGAGAAUUGCUAGCAUGCCAGCAAUUUUGCAAUGGAGUGCUUUCCCCAGUAAUUAUGAAAAUAAUUGCAUGUUGCUUGGAUAGAUGAUGGAAUGGGAAAAAGUAAGCUCCUGAUGAUAAAGGUAAAACUAGGUAAGUUAUAACAGGAUGCUGAACAUUUCUGAGACAUUGGGGGAGUAAUGACUGGCUUGAAUCCAAGAGAGGGACAGAAGCAAGUCUUUCUGCCUGUGUAUAAACACAUAUUCUGCAGAACUAAUGCAAAAAAAAAAAAAGACCAACUUUGCUAUGUUUCAAAUAAACUGUAGUAGAUAAAUAAAUUGAUUCCUUUCUCCCAAAUAGACAAUGAGAUAGAUCAGGUCUGGAACCAAUCCGCAAGGGAUAUGGAGCUCCCCUGUGUAUGAGAAUGAGGGAGAAUAUAUGAGCUUUGACAAAGUUACCUCUGCAACAUUUUCUGUUAGACUUGGAUGCUCAUUGCCACCUCCUGUUAUGCCUAGAAACUCAUCACCAUCUACCCCAAGCAUGAGGAUUAGCCAGGCCUGUACAAUAUAAGACAGCUUCAUAACCGGAUAGCAUUCUUCAAACGGUAUUCCCUUACAAAGUUACUUAUAAGAAUGGAUGGCAGAGUUGGCAUAUACCUCAAGGCUGCCAACUCAAAUUAGGAACAGCUUUAUGGCAAGAACAAAUGUUUUGAGGGUACGCAAGAAUGAAAUCGAAUUAAAAGAUGGAAGAAGGAGACCAUCGAGCAAGGAAUAACAUUAAAGGAGGAUAUGGCUGAAGGAUCUGACUUCUCUUAUACUACUUGGAGGACUCUGAAUAGGUUGAGAGUUGGAAUGCCUAAAUGUAAAACCAAUAUGCUCAAGUGGAGGCUCUUAGUGGAUAACAACCACUAUGUGAAUGUGGAGAGACACAGAGCCCAACCUGGAAACGUGUACUGAUAAUGAUUAUUCUUUUUGGCCAACAGCCAAGAAGGUGGCUUCAUUCUGGCAUUUUAAAGUUUGAUGGAGGCAAAGGAAAUGGAGGCAUAAAGUAUUUUUAUUGUAAAGGGACUAUUUCAACAACCCUGUUAUAAAGUCUAAAUACAGCAGCCAACUAUUUAAUAAAGUUUUUCAGAUUCUUGCUUGCAAAUGUAGCAAGCCCUAAA